GUGCCUGUAGCUCAUCCGGAUAGAGCAACAGUUUCCUAAACUGUGUGCGGGAGGUUCGAGUCCUCUCAGGCACGCCA
rnacentral:tRNA from 1 species